ACGAGAAAAGAUGGCCGUGUGUGUGUGAAAUAAAUAAAGUAGAGUCAAGCGUGUCCUGCUGCCUUCUGCUACUUUUGCAAGGAAGACAACAAAACUAUCUUCUAAACAACUCAACUUUAACACAAAGCCGUCGAAGUAGAAACCGGAAGCAAGGUUGGUUGCAUGAACAAAGACACGCCCUCUGGUGACCGAGCAACGCAGGAAGUGAUCAGUGAUCAGUGGGCGUGACACGCUAACAGCCAAUCAGAUGGAGCGUGACGCACAUUACUAACACGUGCAGCAGGUGUACGUCUCUGCUGUCUCUGCUGCACGUGUUAGAAAAGGAUGCAAGAAAGACCAAUAAAAAAAUGUCCACUGCAGAGGACGCUCAUUCCACCAAAAAAUAGAUGUCCACUGCAGAGGACGUUAGUGUUCAGGAGGAUACAAGAAAGACCAAAAAACAAAUGUCCACUGCAGAGGACGCUCAUUCUACCAAAAACAAAUGUCCGUUGCAGAGGACGUUAGUAUUCAGGAGUAUAAAAGGAUGACCAAAACCAGAUGUCCUCUGCAGAGGACACAAG